AUAUUAAAAUGAAUAGCUUGAGGUACUUAGUUAUUGCCAUUUUAUAUGAACUUUUAAGUUUUUUCUUGAGGUGUUCUGUAUUGAGAUAUAAGUACAUGGAAGCUUUAGGUUCUGUUUUCUAACAUGGAACCAGAUGUUAGAGACUCUAGAAAAUUAAGUUUUAUAGGAUGUCUGUGUUUUCUGACAUAAAAGCCCUAUGCAUGCAUAGAUGUGAAUUGCCAUCAUGACUGACUUUGGCCCUUUGUUAUGGGAGAUGGAAAUGGUAUGUGUACAUUUAAUCCAUGUAAUUGUUACGUGAAAUUCAACAUCCAUUAAUUUCUAGAACUUAAACAAAUUGAAUAAAGUAUCUGAGAAUCUCCUGCAAUCUUGAUUUGUGAUCUCAAUGAUAUCUAGCUCAAUAAGCUGUGUGAGUGAUAGCUUUCUUUUGAUUUUUGCUAUAUUUAUUUUGUUAAUGUUGGAGUUCUUAUAUACUUGAGUUUUGUUGUGUAGCAAAAUAUGAUCAUGCUGUCUUGAAUUCACUGUUUGGGUGGUGGCAAAGGUAGAAUGGCUUGGGGCUGGAUUUUGGUUUAAAUCUAAGAUAUAUUGAAAUUGAAUUAUGGUAUAUUUGCUAUCAUGAUUGUUACCUCGAAUUUUCCUGAAAGCAAACUUGCCAAAAAAAUGCUUAACGUUUAUGUAGUUAGCGAGGUUCUUGAUAUUUGCAUAAUGUAAAUAAUGCUAAUUUGUCCUGACUUGCAAGAUUUAAUGCAUUACCGAAAACUGAUUGAGAAAGCUCUCAAGUGAUGAUCCCUUGAGUAAAUCACUUACUUUUUUUGCGCUUGGUUUCCAUAUCUAUAUUUUCCACUUUUAUUUACUUGAGAAUGCCUAUGUUUUUUUUUUGGCCAGUUGCAUGUUUACUUUCUAUUUUCCAUAUUUCAUAAUUAAGCAUGCAAGUCGACAAUUAUGACCUACCAUUGAAGAUUUUAUCUUUUUAGCAUCCACUCUAUUCACUCAAUAGUUUUAAAUAAUAGCCAUUACGUUAUUUACAGGUUUUUGAGGGUACUGUUACUGAUAUCCUCUUUAAAUAAUGGUGGAAAUAAUUUGUAAUUAGCAACGAUCAUUACUUGACGGGUAACGGUGUUACCCACAUGGGCAGAU
rnacentral:misc_RNA from 1 species